rnacentral:tRNA from 1 species
GGGCCGUUAGCUCAGCGGUAGAGCGCCUGCUUUACACGCAGGAUGCCGGGGGUUCGAAUCCCUCACGGCCCA